rnacentral:rRNA from 1 species
AGGCACACCCGGAGAACUGAAACAUCUUAGUACCCGGAGGAAGAGAAAGAAAAUUCGAUUCCCUUAGUAGCGGCGAGCGAAACGGGAAGAGCCCAAACCAAAAAGCUUGCUUGUUGGGGUUGUAGGACACUCUAUACGGAGUUACAAAGGACGACAUUAGACGAAUCAUCUGGAAAGAUGAAUCAAAGAAGGUAAUAAUCCUGUAGUCGAAAAUGUUGUCUCUCUUGAGUGGAUCCUGAGUACGACGGAGCACGUGAAAUUCCGUCGGAAUCUGGGAGGACCAUCUCCUAAGGCUAAAUACUCUCUAGUGACCGAUAGUGAACCAGUACCGUGAGGGAAAGGUGAAAAGCACCCCGGAAGGGGAGUGAAAUAGAACCUGAAACCGUGUGCUUACAAGUAGUCAGAGCCCGUUAAUGGGUGAUGGCGUGCCUUUUGUAGAAUGAACCGGCGAGUUACGAUUUGAUGCAAGGUUAAGCAGUAAAUGUGGAGCCGUAGCGAAAGCGAGUCUGAAUAGGGCGUUUAGUAUUUGGUCGUAGACCCGAAACCAGGUGAUCUACCCUUGGUCAGGUUGAAGUUCAGGUAACACUGAAUGGAGGACCGAACCGACUUACGUUGAAAAGUGAGCGGAUGAACUGAGGGUAGCGGAGAAAUUCCAAUCGAACCUGGAGAUAGCUGGUUCUCUCCGAAAUAGCUUUAGGGCUAGCCUCAAGUGAUGAUUAUUGGAGGUAGAGCACUGUUUGGACGAGGGGCCCCUCUCGGGUUACCGAAUUCAGACAAACUCCGAAUGCCAAUUAAUUUAACUUGGGAGUCAGAACAUGGGUGAUAAGGUCCGUGUUCGAAAGGGAAACAGCCCAGACCACCAGCUAAGGUCCCAAAAUAUAUGUUAAGUGGAAAAGGAUGUGGCGUUGCCCAGACAACUAGGAUGUUGGCUUAGAAGCAGCCAUCAUUUAAAGAGUGCGUAAUAGCUCACUAGUCGAGUGACACUGCGCCGAAAAUGUACCGGGGCUAAACAUAUUACCGAAGCUGUGGAUUGUCCUUUGGACAAUGGUAGGAGAGCGUUCUAAGGGCGUUGAAGCAUGAUCGUAAGGACAUGUGGAGCGCUUAGAAGUGAGAAUGCCGGUGUGAGUAGCGAAAGACGGGUGAGAAUCCCGUCCACCGAUUGACUAAGGUUUCCAGAGGAAGGCUCGUCCGCUCUGGGUUAGUCGGGUCCUAAGCUGAGGCCGACAGGCGUAGGCGAUGGAUAACAGGUUGAUAUUCCUGUACCACCUAUAAUCGUUUUAAUCGAUGGGGGGACGCAGUAGGAUAGGCGAAGCGUGCGAUUGGAUUGCACGUCUAAGCAGUAAGGCUGAGUAUUAGGCAAAUCCGGUACUCGUUAAGGCUGAGC